rnacentral:rRNA from 1 species
UUAAGCCCAAGGUUUCCUGGGUCAAGUUAAUCUUCCCAGGGUUAGUCGGCCCCUAAGACGAGGCAGAAAUGCGUAGUUGAUGGGAGUCAGGUUAAUAGUCCUGAACCAUGUCGGAUGGUUUCUACAGGAGGGACGGAGAAGGAUAGUCGAGCCGGAUAUUGGAUACCGGUUCAAGCCCGUAGGAGGACCCAUUAGGAGGCCUAGUGCCACAAACGGUGGGUCAACUCUGAGAGGUGAUGAGGAGAGCGCUUGCGCUCACAAACUCGAUAAUUCCCAGCUCUCGAGAAAAGCUCCGGUAGAGUUAACCGCUGAUGUGACCGUACCGCAAACCGACACAGGUGGGCGGGGAGAAUAUCCCAAGGCGCUUGAGAGAACCCUGCUUAAGGAACUCGCAAAAUGACACCGUAACUUCGGGAGAAGGUGUGCCCUCGUUACGUGAUCCGCAUACGCGGGGAGCGGAAGGGGGUUGCAGAGAAUCGGGGGUAGCGACUGUUUACCAAAAACACAACACUCUGCGAAGUCGCAAGACGACGUAUAGGGUGUGAUGCCUGCCCGGUGCUGGAAGGUUAAAGAGAGGACUCAGCCGCAAGGCAAAGGUCCGAACUGAAGCCCCAGUAAACGGCGGCCGUAACGAUAACGGUCCUAAGGUAGCGAAAUUCCUUGUCGGGUAAGUUCCGACCUGCACGAAUGGCAUAACGACUUCCCCACUGUCCCGAGCAGGGACUCAGCGAAGUAGCACUAGGGGUGAAGAUACCCUUUACCCACGGCAGGACGGAAAGACCCCGUGAACCUUCACUACAGUUUGACAUUGAUUGACGAAGUGAUUUGCGUAGGAUAGGUGGGAGGCUUUGAUGUCGGGAUUCCGGUCCUGAUGGAGCCAACGUUGAAAUACCACCCUGAUCGGUUUGGCAAUCUAACCUACACCCGUGAGCCGGGUGGGGGACACUGUCUGAUGGGUAGUUUGACUGGGGCGGUCGCCUCCCAAAAAGUAACGGAGGCGCGCGAAGUUCCCCUCAGCGUGAUUGGAAACCACGCGUCGAGUGUAAACACAUAAGGGGGAUUGACUGCGAGGCCGACGAGCCGAGCAGGUACGAAAGUAGGUGUUAGUGAUCCGGUGGCUCCACAUGGAAGGGCCAUCGCUCAACGGAUAAAAGGUACUCCGGGGAUAACAGGCUUAUCACGUCCAAGAGUUCACAUCGACGACGUGGUUUGGCACCUCGAUGUCGGCUCAUCGCAUCCUGGGGCUGAAAUCGGUCCCAAGGGUUUAGCUGUUCGCUAAUUAAAGCGGUACGCGAGCUGGGUUCAGAACGUCGUGAGACAGUUCGGUCCCUAUCCGUCGUGGGCGCAGGAUACUUGAGAGGAGCUGACUUUAGUACGAGAGGACCGAGUUGGACGGACCGCUAGUGUUCCGGUUGUGGCGCCAGCCGCAUCGCCGGGUAGCUAUGUCCGGAAGGGAUAACCGCUGAAAGCAUCUAAGCGGGAAGCCCCCCUCGAGAUUAGGUAUCCCAAAUGCCGUCAAGGCACCAGAAGACCCCGCGUAGACUACGCGGUUGAUAGGCGCGAUGUGGAAGUGCAGCAAUGCACGCAGCUAACGCGUACUAAUCGGUCGGGCGGCUUGACC